ensembl:lncRNA
GUAAGAAUCAUCUGGGGCUUCCCAGGUGGCAGAAGUGAUAAGAAGCCACCUGCCGAUGCAGGAAAUGUAAGAAACACGGGUUCAGUCCCUGGGUCGGGAAGAUCCCCUGCAGGAGGGAAUGGCCACCCACUCCAGUGUUCUUGCCUGGAGAAUCCCACGAAGAGGGGCCUGGUGGGCUACAGUCCACGGGGUUGCACAGAGUAGGGUGCGACUGAAUGGCUAAUCCCACGAAGAGGGGCCUGGCGGGCUACAGUCCACGGGGUUGCACAGAGUCGGGUGCGACUGAAUGGCUAAUCCCACGAAGAGGGGCCUGGCGGGCUACAGUCCACGGGGUUGCACAGAGUCGGGUGCGACUGAAUGGCUAAUCCCACGAAGAGGGGCCUGGCGGGCUACAGUCCACGGGGUUGCACAGAGUUGGGUGCGACUGAGCGGCUAACACACACACACACACACACAUACACUCAUGCAUACCCUUUUUCAUAUUAUUUUCUCUUCUAGGCUAUUACAAAAUCUUGAGUAUAGUCCCCUUUGGUAUAUAGUAGGUCCUUUUUGUUUAAAUGUUCUAUAUACAAUAGUGUGUACAUCCAAUGUUCUUGCCUGGAGAAUCCCAGGGACAGGGGAGCUUGAUGGGCUGCCGUGUGAGGUCGCACAGAGUUGGACAAGACUGAAGCGACUUAGCAGCAGCCGCAGCAGCAGUGUGUAUACACUAGUCUCAAAUUCCUAACCUAUCCCUCCCUGCUUCCCCUGUGUAACUCUAAGCCCGUUUUCUGUUUCUGCGAGUCUACUUCCUUGUAAGUUUGUGUGUAUCUUUCUUUAGAUUCCAUACGUGAGUGACGUACAUAAGUGUCUUUUUCAGUCUGGCUUACUUCACUGAGUAUGAUAAUCUCCAAGUCACUUUCUCAGAUUUCUCACAUUUAUUUUUCAUUCACUCAGUGUUGCUUAAACCCCUGGGAUGUGCCAGGCUGUAGGCUAACUGCUGAAGUGAAGUCGCUCAGUCGUGUCUGACCCUUUGCGACCCCAUCUGUAGCCUACCAGGCUUCUCCAUCCAUGGGAUUUUCCAGGCAAGAGGACUGGAGUGGGGUGCCAUCGCCUUCUCCGACAUUACACACUAAUAGUUACAAAUUGCAAAAGUGCCUUGGACGGAACAAACUCCUUUGCUUACUAAAGCUUAAAUAAUCCAAAGGUAAGUUUCAGCCUAGCCCAUGGAAGGUUUUCCUGGGGCAUUAUAAUAAAAAUGGUGAUAAGCACGGCAGCGUCCAUAGACAUCAGUGGCUGGCUAAGGCUAAGCACGUCGGUGAGUGCUUUAUAUAAAUGAGCUCACUCACUCCCUAUGACGGCCCUCCUGGUCGAGUGUCAUUAUCCCCAUUUUACAGAUGAGCACACAGAGG